rnacentral:rRNA from 1 species
UACGUAGGGUGCAAGCGUUGUCCGGAAUUAUUGGGCGUAAAGAGCUCGUAGGCGGUCUGUCGCGUCUGCUGUGAAAACUCAGGGCUUAACCCUGAGCUUGCAGUGGGUACGGGCAGACUAGAGUGCGGUAGGGGAGACUGGAAUUCCUGGUGUAGCGGUGAAAUGCGCAGAUAUCAGGAGGAACACCGGUGGCGAAGGCGGGGUCUCUGGGCAACAACUGACGCUGGAGGAGCGAAAGCGUGGGGAGCGAACAGG